GACAGAGGCCCCAAGCGUUAGGCGGAAUCACUGGGCUUAAAGCGUGUGUAGGCGGAUCGUUAAGUGUCUUGUGAAAUCCCACGGCUCACCCGUGGAACUGCUGGGCAUACUGGCGAUCUUGGGCCAACUAGGGGCAGUCGGAACAAGCGGUGGAGCGGUGAAAUGCGUAGAUAUCGGAAGGAACGCCGGUGGCGAAAGCGACGUGCUGGACCCUUUCUGACGCUGAGGCGCGAAAGCUAGGGGAGCAAACAGG
rnacentral:rRNA from 1 species